rnacentral:rRNA from 1 species
GACGAACGCUGGCGGCGUGCCUAAUACAUGCAAGUCGAACGAGAGCGACCGGUGCUUGCACUGGUCAAUCUAGUGGCGAACGGGUGAGUAACACGUGGGUAACCUGCCCAUCAGAGGGGGAUAACAUCCGGAAACGGAUGCUAAAACCGCAUAGGUCUUCGAACCGCAUGGUUUGAAGAGGAAAAGAGGCGCAAGCUUCUGCUGAUGGCUGGACCCGCGGUGCAUUAGCUAGUUGGUGAGGUAACGGCUCACCAAGGCCGUGAUGCGUAGCCGCCCUGAGGGGGACAAUGGCUACAUGGUGAGUGAGACAGGGCCCAAACUCCGGCGGUGGGCAGCAGUAGGGAAUCUUCCGCAAUGGACGCGAGGCUGACGGAGCAACGCCGCGGGAGGGAAGAAGGUUUUCGGAUCGUAAAGCUCUGUUGUUAGUGAAGAACAAGUGCUAUAGUAACUGUGAGCGCCUUGACGGUAUCUAACCAGAAAGCCACGGCUAACUACGUG